UACGUAGGCAGCAAGCGUUGUUCGGAGUUACUGGGCGUAAAGGGUGUGUAGGCGGUUCUUUAAGUUUGGUGUGAAAUCUCCCGGCUCAACUGGGAGGGUGCGUCGAAUACUGAGGGACUAGAGUACGGGAGAGGAAAGUGGAAUUCCUGGUGUAGCGGUGAAAUGCGUAGAUAUCAGGAGGAACACCGGUGGUGUAGACGGCUUUCUGGACCGACACUGACGCUGAGACACGAAAGCGUGGGUAGCAAACAGG
rnacentral:rRNA from 1 species